rnacentral:rRNA from 1 species
CCUACGGGGGGCUGUAGUGGGGGAUAUUGCACAAUGGGGGGAACCCUGAUGCAGCGACGCCGCGUGGGUGAAGAAGCGCCUCGGCGCGUAAAGCCCUGUCAGCAGGGAAGAAAAUGACGGUACCUGAAGAAGAAGCCCCGGCUAACUACGUGCCAGCAGCCGCGGGAAUACGUAGGGGGCAAGCGUUAUCCGGAUUUACGGGGUGUAAAGGGGGCGCAGGCGGCGAUGCAAGCCAGGAGUGAAAGCCCGGGGCCCAACCCCGGGACUGCUCUUGGAACUGCGUGGCUGGAGUGCAGGAGGGGCAGGCGGAAUUCCUGGUGUAGCGGUGAAAUGCGUAGAUAUCAGGAGGAACACCGGUGGCGAAGGCGGCCUGCUGGACUGCAACUGACGUUGAGGCCCGAAAGCGUGGGGAGCAAACAGGAUUAGAUACCCGGGUAGUC